rnacentral:rRNA from 1 species
UACGUAGGUGGCAAGCGUUGUCCGGAUUUACUGGGCGUAAAGAGCGCGCAGGCGGUCGUUCAAGUCGCGUGUGAAAGCCCCCGGCUCAACUGGGGAGGGUCACGCGAUACUGAUCGACUCGAAGGCAGGAGAGGGAAGUGGAAUUCCCGGUGUAGUGGUGAAAUGCGUAGAUAUCGGGAGGAACACCAGUGGCGAAGGCGGCUUCCUGGCCUGUUCUUGACGCUGAGGCGCGAAAGCUGAGGGGAGCAAACUGGGG